rnacentral:rRNA from 1 species
ACGGGAGGCAGCAGUGGGGAAUAUUGGGCAAUGGAGGCAACUCUGACCCAGCAAUACCGCGUGAGUGAAGAAGGUCUUCGGAUUGUAAAACUCUUUAAGUAGGGACGAAGAAAGUGACUGUACCUACAGAAUAAGCAUCGGCUAACUACGUGCCAGCAGCCGCGGUAAUACGUAGGAUGCGAGCGUUAUCCGGAAUAACUGGGCGUAAAGGGUGCGUAGGUGGUUUGGCAAGUUAGUAGCGUAAUUCCGGGGCUUAACUUCGGAACUACUACUAAAACUGUUAGACUAGAGUGCAGGAGGGGUAAAUGGAAUUCCUAGUGUAGCGGUGGAAUGCGUAGAUAUUAGGAAGAACACCAGAGGCGAAGGCGAUUUACUGGACUGUAACUGACACUGAGGCACGAAAGCGUGGGGAGCAAACAGGAUUAGAUACCCUGGUA